rnacentral:rRNA from 1 species
AGUGAACGUUGGCGGCGUGGAUUAGGCAUGCAAGUCGAGCGAGAACCGUAGCAAUACGGGGACAGCGGCGAAAGGGACAGUAAUGUGUAGGUACCUACCCCGAGGUCUGGGAUAGCUGCGGGAAACUGCAAUUAAUACCAGAUAAUGUCUCCGGACCAAAGGUGUGAUUCCGCCGGGAGAGCGGCCUACAUCCUAUUAGCUAGUUGGCCGGGUAACGGCCCACCAAGGCUCAGAUGGGUAGCAGGUGUGAGAGCACGACCUGCGUCACUGGGACUGAGACACUGCCCAGACACCUACGGGUGGCUGCAGUCGAGAAUCUUCGGCAAUGAGCGCAAGCUUGACCGAGCGACGCCGCGUGCGGGAUGAAGGCCUUCGGGUUGUAAACCGCUGUCAGAGGGGACGAAGUGCUAGUGGGUACUCUCAUUAGCUUGACUGAUCCUCAAAGGAAGGGUGGGCUAAGUUCGUGCCAGCAGCCGCCGUAA